AGUUUAUGAACUUGUUAAAGUAUAUAUUUUGAAAAUAUAAAAAAGAAUUUAAUUUCUAUAAACUU
rnacentral:tRNA from 1 species